rnacentral:rRNA from 1 species
UACGUAGGGGGCUAGCGUUGUCCGGAAUCAUUGGGCGUAAAGCGCGUGUAGGCGGCCCGGUAAGUCCGCUGUGAAAGUCGGGGGCUCAACCCUCGGAUGCCGGUGGAUACUGUCGGGCUUGAGUACGGAAGAGGCGAGUGGAAUUCCUGGUGUAGCGGUGAAAUGCGCAGAUAUCAGGAGGAACACCUAUUGCGAAGGCGGCGAUCUGGGAAGAUACUGACGCUGAGGUGCGAAAGCGUGGGGAGCAAACAGG